CAGAAAGUGAUCGAGACUCGGUGGCGGAGCGCACCGACUGCCGCCAGGAUGAGGAGGCUGCAGACUGUUGCUUUGGGAGCAAAGGAUCGUGCUUCAAAAGUCUGAGGACAAGUUUGUCCUCUGCGAGCUUGGCUAGAAUAAUUCCCCGGUGGCCACACAACAGGGUGCACCUUGCCACUGAGCCAGAUGAAGGUACUGUGGGACCUGACUCAGUACAUUCAGGCAUGGACAAUGAUUCUAGUUCAUUCAGUGUUCCAAAUUUCCGAACAAACUCUACACAUGCUAAGCCAUGUCUUUCUUUUACUGCAUGAUGGAAAUUCAAAUGAACUAACUUGGAGUUCCUGUCGUGGCGCAGUGGUUAACGAAUCCGACUAGGAACCAUGAGGUUGCGAGUUUGAUC